AAGAAAGUAGCAUAGCGGUCAUGUGAUUGGCUUGAAACCAAUUGACGGGGGUUCGACUCCUUCCUUUCUCG
rnacentral:tRNA from 1 species